UCUCCGGAGACCGACUGCGGUUCGGCUGCCUCCAGCACAAUCAGAGCAAACACCUGUUUCCAGGAAGACAGGCGGCCAGAGGGAGAAGGGAGUCCCGGGGAAAGGCAGGGAGGACGAAGCGAAGGGGCAGCCGGGGACGCAGUAAAGUAUGUAUGGCUGUGUGCUUUCCCCCAUGGAACUCCAUUGGUCUUCCAUAGCACUGGUGCAUUGGGCAUUCUACCACUGCUGCAAGUGAAGGUCCAUGGAAGAAUUCAAAUUGAGAUCAGUGACAUCCAGGAAAUCGAUGUUGAAGAUGCUGGGGCUGCUGGUGGUGAGGGCGCUAAAGCCUGGUGUGGAAUUUGGCGGAGUGAGGUCCAGCCACUCCAUGGUUUCCCAGGGAGAUUCAGUGAAGCUUAACUGCAGCCCAUUGCUGUCCACAGAAGAGGGUGAAAACUGUGUCUGCAUUGGAGAGAGGGGGCCUGGCAAGAUCUCAUGUGCAUUGAAGAGGUCUUCUGCAGCCUUCCCAGAGAAUCCAUCCAUUAUCCCAUCAAAGUGAGGCUCUUCGCUCCCAAUUUUUAGAAGGGUGACAUCACUCAUCUUUCCUAGGGGGCUCUGGGAAUUUAAUAAGACUUCAAGAUGCUCAUCACUGUCGGUGGCAUAGGGAUCAAAGGGGAUCUGGCUGCCUGAAGAGGCUUGUUCAAAGGAAGCCGAGGGCUUGGUGAGGACAGCAGUUGGACUUCGGGAAGAUCUGGGUAUCUUUGGGACUUUUUGAAGACAUGAGUGAUCCUCUCUAGCGUCUGCUGGCAUUUCUGUGGGCAAUACACGAUGUGACUUGUUAAAUCACUUCAAAUUGAGCAUGCCACACAAUAUGAGUGAGUUACACUUAGAUACAGAAGAUGGCCACGCUUCCCUGGUCACCGCUCACCACCCAGUCUCAUCUCUAAGCUGCUCUAUCAAUCUCCAAUUCAUCUUCCCUCUGGUUUUUCCCAAACCCUUUCCUCUUGGGAAUUCCACUCUGUGAUUAUUAAACUCUCUUCUCUGAAGGUUCCUGGCCUACUCCUCUGACCCCUGGUAGUCCCUUGAGGACACUGAGUCCAUCCCAACACCAUCAGUGAGGGCCUGAAGAUGAGGGACCAGGCGCCAUGCCAUUGCCACUUUCUGAUUGCUACUCCCCCCGCUUCUGAUGACAACUCAGCAGUUUUGGGUUUUGAGGGUGACAGCAAUGCCUCACCCCUAGCCUCCUGGUCACUCCCCCUCAUCUACUGAAAACUCUGCUUCCUACUCCAUUGCCUUUUCCCCACUUGAACCCUUCUCAUUCUGUAACCUGAGCAUCCUUGGAAAUCACAGUGUUCAUGCUGGCCUCUGAGCUCCCGACUUCCUCCUCAACUCCAGUGAUUCCCCCACUGCCACUCUGUCAGACACACCUUGGAUUGUGUCAUCUCCAAAUACUGCAUCCCUCUGAAAGCUCACUUUCAAGCUAUAUUUUCUAUUCUCUGUCCAUCCUCUCCCAACCCUCCAAGCCACUUAUUAUGUACCUUGUAACAAUAAUUUCCCAACCAUUUACAGUCACACUAAUCCAUAGACUCUACUAUGUUAUCACUGUCCACCAGCCCCUCUGGUCUUCACUUCUUUCCUUGUCUAGCCUGUAUUUUUGGCAGAACCCCACACCUGGAGGAACCUGAUCAUCUGCCUUCGCUGAGCAUGCUCUGGAUCAGCAGAACAUUGCAAGAGAAAAAUUAAACAACUAAGCUGACUUGGUUUCACUUUAGAUUUCUGAGGUCAGACCUACAACUGGCAUUUAAGACUGCAAAACAACCCAGCUGUGUUUCUCCAGAAAACUCAGUUCAUUCAUGAUUAAGUCAUAACUGCUCUUCUUCCCCUGAAUCUUCCACACUCCCCUUCUGCAUCCUCACGCUUUUCUGGCCUUGCCACAUAUUUCAUUAAAAAUAUACAAGGGCAGGCUGGGCGUGGUGGCUCACGCCUUUAAUCCCAGCACUUUGGGAGGCCUAGGUGGGCAGAUCACGAGGUCAAGAGAUUGAGACCAUCCUGGCCAACAUGGUGAAACCCCGUCUCUACUAAACAUACAAAAAAUUAGCUGGGCGUGGUGGCACGCGCCUGUAGUCCCAGCUACUUGGGAGGCUGAGGCAGGAGAAUCGCUUGAUCCCAGGAGGCGGAGGUCGCAGUGACCCAAGAUCCCGCCACUGCACUCCAGCCUGGCGACAGAGUGAGACUCCGUCUCAAAAAUGUGUGUGUGUGUGUGUGUGUGUGUGUGUGUGUGUGUGUGUGUGUGUAUGGGCAUCUGAUAUGAACUCUUCUCAUCUUUCCAUUACAGAACUCAUUUACAUACAUAUGUUUGUACCCAUCUCUUCCUUCUUCCCUCUUGCUACAAUGGAGGAAAGGUCUGUUCACUUGCUUGUUGUCUGUCUCCCUUACCAGACUGUAAACUCCAUAGGAAUCAGGAUCUUGUCUGAUCAUAGCACGGAGACUAUGACAACGCCUGGCUACCCCUUCUCUGAGUCCUUUGCUACCUCCGUCUCUGAAAUUUUAAAUGUUUUUGGCUUAAGGAUUCCUCCCUGAGUGCUUUUAUUUUGAUCUACACAUGCUCCUUAGGUCAUCUUAUUCAUUUGUGUGGUUUAAAAUUCUAGGUACACACUCCAUAAUUUUUUAAGUAAAUAAAUGAACAAAUUAAAAGGUGACAAAAAGAACAUGCUGAUUAUGUUUUAUUGCUAGCAUGUAUAACAUUUAAGCAUGAAUGAACCAUCCAGUGGAAGGUUGCUAAUUGAAUUUCACUUUGAGUAGGUAGCACAAAAUGUUCAUUAUCUGCUUUUUUCUUUUAUUAUAAUUGAGAAGGUAGGGGCAUUGAGAUUAGAACAUAGAAAGAAGAAGUGCAGCAAGAGAAAACACUUAAGGAAACAAGGAUUAGGCUGAAACAUGAAAACUAUUAAAAUGAUUGCUGAAAAAUGCUCCUAGGACAAAGGCAGUGAGGAAUCAUCCACUAAGCCUUCUUUUAUCAGCUCUAAAAAUGUGCGAGAAGCUCAAAGGAAAUGGCUCUCCCUGAGGACUACCUGGUACAUCCAACUCACAGUGUGCAUCUGAUCUUGGUACCGAGAGUUCAUUCCUUAGAGUUCAUGUGGGCUCAGAAUGUCCUAAUGGACAGGACACAGGCAGUCUUACCUCCGCUUUCAAUAAGCACGUCCAGGAGUUCAUCCAUCUGCUGACUCCGGGUCAUUUGCUAUUACAAAUUAACCAAAGGAGGACAGACAAUUUAGAAGGUGGUUAUCUCCGUAGGAAAUCAUUAGAAGCAGCACUGCAAGAUUUUGAACUAGGUUUGGUCAAGGUAUUUUUUUUUCCAAUUGUGGCAAAAUACACAUAACUUUAAAUUUACUAUCAACCAUUUUUAAGUGUACAGUUAAGGGGCAUUAAGUACAUUCACACAAUUGUGUGACCAUCACCACCAUCUGUCUUCAGAAUUCUUUUCAUCCUGCAAGACUAAAAUCGUGUACCCAUUCAACCAUAAUUUCCCACACCCCAUCCUUUAGCCCCUGGCAACCGCCAUUUUCCUUUCUGCCUUUACGAAUUUGACUAUUCUAUCUAAGUCCCUCAUAGAAGCGAAUCGUACAGUAUUUAUUCUUUUGCAACUAGCUUAUUUCCCUAAGCGUAAUGUCCUUAAGGUUGAUCUAUGUUGUGACAUGUGUCAGAAUUUCUUUUUUUUAAAGACUGAAUAAAAUUCCAUUGUAUAGAUAUAACAAAAAAAAAAAAAAAAAA
rnacentral:lncRNA from 1 species